rnacentral:rRNA from 1 species
AUUGAACGCUGGCGGCAUGCCUUACACAUGCAAGUCGAACGGCAGCACGGGAGCAAUCCUGGUGGCGAGUGGCGAACGGGUGAGUAAUAUAUCGGAACGUGCCCAGUCGUGGGGGAUAACGCAGCGAAAGCUGUGCUAAUACCGCAUACGAUCUAUGGAUGAAAGCGGGGGACCGCAAGGCCUCGCGCGAUUGGAGCGGCCGAUGUCAGAUUAGCUAGUUGGUGGGGUAAAGGCCCACCAAGGCGACGAUCUGUAGCUGGUCCGAGAGGACGACCAGCCACACUGGAACUGAGACACGGUCCAGACUCCUACGGGAGGCAGCAGUGGGGAAUUUUGGACAAUGGGCGCAAGCCUGAUCCAGCGAUGCCGCGUGCAGGAUGAAGGCCUUCGGGUUGUAAACUGCUUUUGUACGGAACGAAACGGUGAGCUUUAAUACAGUUUGCUAAUGACGGUACCGUAAGAAUAAGCACCGGCUAACUACGUGCCAGCCGCCGCCGUAAUAC